CCUUCUUCAGCCGUCUCCCCUCUCCCCGCCUCUUCCUCCUGAUUCGCGAUGCUGCGACCUCGAGGCGCCAUCAAGGCCAGAGCUGGAGUGUGAAUCCCUAGCGCCGCCUCCCACUCCCUCCCCUUGACCUCAUUCUCUUCUGGAUCCUCCACGGAAGCGGAGCCGCCGGUGGAGCGCCGCAGCUCCUCCUAUCCGCCCUCUUCUUCGCGCGCGCCCGCCAGCGCAUCUCACUCUAUCCCUGUCUCAUCUACGGCGGGUUCAACAGAUGGUCGAGCUCCAUCUCUCCGACCCUGGCCAAGCCCAAGCGACCCCCACAUAUCACCAAGGAGACCGGCAUCUUCGUCUGUCGCGCUGCUGCCGUCGCCGUCGUGUUCUCCGGCCCCGACACCGCUGGAAGGGCUCCUCAAUGCCAGCAACGCAGGUCAUCCUGCUAGGAGGGCUUGACUGUGGCAAGCGCAUCGACCUCGUCAGCGCGAUGCAGGUUGCUUCUGAAUUGCUUUGGAAUCAAUUGCAUCCGUAUGCUUCCACAUGAUUAAUGAUGUGCCCGCAGGAGAGGCUCAAAAAGUCGAUUUUCUGUUCAUGGUGGAAGGGCUGCUUGAAGCAGAUGCUAGAUAGUUGCAGUUUUCUAUGGAAAAUGGUUCCUACUAUAAAAAGAAAUUCUUGAGCGACAGGUUGCUACAGCAGGGCAAAGCUCAGGAUGUCUUCAAAGGCAAAUGAACAGGGCAAAGUUGUGACUUGCAUACCUCUGUUUCUAGAAGUGAGCCAGACCCAUCAUUUUUUUACUAAGUUGAGUUCUAUUUGUUACAUCGCUACACACAAUGCAUAAGGAAAAAUUAAUAGUUUUAGAAAUACAGCCACAAACACAUUGCUACAUGUCUAUCUGUAACAUCAGAGUGUACCAUUUUUAUUUACAUUUCCUUUUCUAAUUACCAUCUAAGAAUUGAAUCCAAGGAUACCAGUUGUUUCUAUAUUUCAUUUUGGAAUGAGUAAGUCAUGUGUGUUCUUCAUUUAUAGCUUAGUUAGUUUUAUAUUUUUAUGCACAAUUAAUAUAGCGAUUGCCAAAUCUUUUACCAAAGAUGGGGAACCAUAUGCCAAGUCGGGCUCCUGAUCAUAAACUUUU